rnacentral:ribozyme from 1 species
AAGAUAAAAGAAUAUAAAAUGAGAGACAUACUUUAAUAUAUUCUUGUGUCCUUCUUCGUUUAACAUGUUUCUUUUUGAAAUAUUUAUUUUGCUGAAUCACAGUGUUAUUCUUACUCUUAUUAGGGGGGUGCAGCGGAAUUUUUAGCAUUUUGGGAAAUAGGAUCUAGGCAAUAAUAAUCCGGGAGCCCAUUGGUAUUUACCUAAUCAGAGGAUCCCCAAAAGGACGGAAAAAAAAAUUCACUGGAAAGGUAUUUUUUAAGCUUUUUAAUAAAAAAUCACUAGUGACUCAA